GCCGCAGUGCGCAGCCGCAGCCCGGGCCGGGCCUGGGCGCGCUGCGGAACCUGCGCGAGGGGCGCGCAACUUUAUUUUCUGGAUCUUACUAGCGUCCGCGCAUUGCCAAGCAGCAGGGGAAACGUUCCUCCAUUUCAGCCGCCGAGCGGUGAAGCCCAUUUUCCGAGCGCGCCCUGUUCUGCGCCGGGCCGCCUUGACUGGAUGCGGCUACGCUUCUCAGGCCAAGGGGUGCUGCUCCUCCCCACACGUGCGUUGAUCACGAUCCCUUUCCGUGCUUGCCACCCCGUCGAGUCUCCCUGCUCGGCGCAAUGUUGCUCACUGGAGAUGCCCCAAAUCAACAAAUGUCUGGGAGAAGAAAAUAAUAAUCUAUCAUCAGUUCACCUUGGAAGGUAUCUUUCCCCCUGGAAAUUUUGUUCAUCUGGUCCUUAUUACUUCCACCACUCCUCUUUCUUUUAAAAAAAAUGAUAAUUUUCAGGGCACCUGGGUGUCUCAGUCCAUUAAGUGUCUGCCUUUGGCUUAGGUCAUGAUUCCAGGGUCCUGGGAUUGAGCCCUGCAUCAGGCUCCCUACUCGGCAGGGAGUCUGCUUCUCCCUCUGCUUAUGCACUCUCUCUCUCUCUUUCUCAAAAAUAAAUAAAUAGGGACGCCUGGGUGGCUCAGUUGGUUGGACGACUGCCUUCAGCUCAGAUCAUGAUCCUGGAGUCCUGGGAUCGAGUCCCGCAUCGGACUCCCAGCUCCAUGGGGAGUCUGCUUCUCUCUCUGACCUUCUCCUGAUUCAUGCUCUCUCUCACUGUCUCUCUCUCAAGUAAAUAAAUAAAAUCUUUUAAAUAAAUAAAUAAAUAGGGGCACCUGGGUGGCUCAGUGGGUUAAGCCUCUGCCUUCGGCUCAGGUCAUGAUCUUGGGGUCCUGGGAUCAAGCCCUACAUGGGGAUCUCUGCUAAGCAGGGAGCCUGCUUCCCCCUCUCUCUCUGCCUGCCUCUCUGCCUACUUGUGAUCAAUCUCUAAAAAAUAAAUAAAUAAAUAAAUAAAUAAAUAAAUAAAAUAUUUUAAAAAUACUUUAAAAUAUUUUAAAUAUUUAAAUAAAAA
rnacentral:lncRNA from 1 species